UAACUGCACUGUGGUUUACAGAUCACACAGCUGUACAAGCUGUUUUUCUUCUAUACGGAUGCUUUGGGAUCAGUUUAAUCUUGUUUGUAAAAAUGUUUCUAAAAUGUGUUACAUAUUUUGGAUGUUCAUCCUGUUGAUCUUCAAGUGUGGAAGAAAAAAUGUGAGUCAAAAGUUUAAAAAAAUGGAAAUUCCCGAAACUUGCAGCGAAGUUGAUAGAGCAGAAGUCCUAUGUGUGAAACUAAGAAUACUGACCAGUAGUACCGCCUCCUGGCUUGUGUUCUGAUAUGACUCCAGGGUAUCUGAGGCAGCGAAAGUCAAGUCCGAACUUUGUAUGCCAUAUUUCAUCUACUGAAAGAAAGAGCUGAUAUUUUGACUUAACCAGACCCUCACCAUGUGAAGCAUAAAAUGUACCGCAUAGGAUGUUACACAUUUAAUUGUUUGAAUUAGAUGAAGGAGUACAGGUUAUAGUGUUGAACUCAAAUCGGCCAUCAGUCAACCUUGCGAUAUAAUCAACACUCCCAAGUACAUCAUCAUUAUACCAACAUCACCACAUGUACACCAGUACACACCAUCAUCACACCAUCAUCAUCAUCAUCAUCACACCAACAUUAUAAUAACAUCCAACCACACCAUCGUAAUAACACCCAACCAUACCAACAUCACAACAUCCAACCAUACCAGCAUCAGAACACUCAGCCAUACCAUCAUCAUAACACAGCACACCAAAAUUACACCCAUCCACACCAUCAUAACACCCAACCACACCAACAUGACACCCAACCACACCAUCAUAACAUCCAACCACACCAACAUAACACCCAACCACACCAACAUGACACCCAACCACACCAUCAUCAUAACAUCCUACCACACUAACCUUACACCCAAAAACAUCAUCAUUAAACCGAACCACACCAUCAUCAUAACAUCCCACACCAACAUUACACUCAUCCACGCCAACUGCACCAUCAUCAUAACAUUCCACAUCAAUAUUACACCCAUCCACACCAUCAUCAAAACUUCUGACCACACCAAAAUACACCAAACCACACCAUCAUCAUAACACCCAUCCACACGGACAUUACACCCAACCACAUCAUCAUCAACACCCAACAAUAAUAACCAUCAUCAAGCCAAACCACACCACCAUCAUCAACCUGGAAUUUUUAUCAUCCACAUCCAACCACAUCCUCACCAGCCUUCGCCACACUCUCGUUACCCUCAAGUCUUCACCUCUCCC